AAUAAGUGCAAUUCUGUAUUAUUCAUGUCCAACGUUUAAUCAUUAGUUUUAUUUGAAAAUUUUUAUGAUUAAUACUUUUGUUGUUAUUAGAUGAUAAAACAUGAAUAAUACUUUAUAUAUGACUAUUUUUUUUAAUUUUUUUAUAAACUUUUUAAAUAAGACGGAUGGUUAAACGUUGUACAUGGAUAUCCACAGGUGCAUAUUUA
rfam:Oryza glaberrima chromosome 12 Oglab12_0208_14, whole genome shotgun sequence.